rnacentral:rRNA from 1 species
AUUGAACGCUGGCGGCAGGCCUAACACAUGCAAGUCGAGCGGAUGAAGAGAGCUUGCUCUCUGAUUUAGCGGCGGACGGGUGAGUAAUGCCUAGGAAUCUGCCUGGUAGUGGGGGAUAACGUUCCGACAGGAACGCUAAUACCGCAUCCGUCCUACGGGAGAAAGCGGGGGAUCUUCGGACCUCGCGCUAUCAGAUGAGCCUAGGUCGGAUUUGCUAGUUGGUGAGGUAAAGGCUCACCAAGGCGACGAUCCGUAACUGGUCUGAGAGGAUGAUCAGUCACACUGGAACUGAGACACGGUCCAGACUCCUACGGGAGGCAGCAGUGGGGAAUAGUGGACAAUGGGCGAAAGCCUGAUCCAGCCAGGCCGCGUGUGUGAAGAAGGUCUUCGGAUUGUAAAGCACUUUAAGUUGGGAGGAAGGGUUGUAGAUUAAUACUCUGCAAUUUUGACGUUACCGACAGAAUAAGCACCGGCUAACUUCGUGCCAGCAGCCGCAGUAACAC